CCGAGUUUACAACUCCCAAACCCCUGUGAACAUACCUAUACGUUGCCUCGGCGGAUCAGCCCGCGCCCUGUAGAACGGGACGGCCCGCCCGAGGACCCUAAACUCUGUUUUUAGUGGAACUUCUGAGUAAAACAAACAAAUAAAUCA
rnacentral:misc_RNA from 1 species